CCCGCUGGUAAAGAUCCUGCAGCUGAGACGGCAGCUCUCUCACUGAAGAUAGACACAGCGUGGACGUUCCAUCUGCCAGAGGACAGAGAUGCAGAGAGACACACGGGGUGCGCAUUGCCUGUGGCUCAAAAAAAGCCGAGAGAAGCUUAUGUAAGUAUGCUAUACUUGCUAAACUAAAAAUAAGAAAGUGUACUUUCAGUCUGCAUUUUAUGUACUUCUAAAUAUAGUAUACUUGAAAAUGAAGUGUACUGACCGACAAGUAUGUUUAUAUUUAUCUAUACUUGAAGAAGAUGAACUUAAAGGUAAAAUGAAGUAUUCUAAGUAUACUUGGCUUGUUGUUGCUGUGUUGGAUUUACUCUUGACUAAAUAGCCUAUUAAAUACUUUUAUAUAUCUUACAUGUUCAAGUUUAUUUGUAACAAUGUAAAUAAUAUAGAACAAUAUAUUCUGUAAGUUUAAUGUUACAUUCACUUACAGUAAACUUAAAAGUGUUCCUGCGGUAAAAGGUUCGAGAGUAUAAUUCAAAGUGUACUUAAAAAAAAAAUUGUAUUGAACUAUUAAACUGUUAGCAUACCUUUAAGUUCACUUGUAGUAUAGUUGCAGUACAAACCACUACUAGUAACCUAGUAGUGUACUUCAAGUUUACUAAUGCUACAUUAAGUACACUUAAAAGUUUAUUUUUACAAACUAAAAGUGGGCCAAAUUUAGUCCCGAGUAGUACUGAGAUGGUACACUUGCAAGUACACUACUAAAUUGAUAUUUGUAUAUUUAAUACUUAUAGUAAGGUAUACAAGAAAAGAUAAAUAUAUUAUUGUUAUUAAAUAUAUUGUUAUUGUUAAUUGCUUUCCUGUAGCUCAGUGGUAAGAGCAUGGCGCUAACCACGUGGGUCGUGGGUUCGAUCCCAGGGGAUUGCACAUAUACUUAGAAACAAAAUGUAUAGGAUAAUGCAAUGUAAGGUCUGCCAAAUGCAUACUGCAAUGAAAACGUAAUUGAGCAUUUGAUGUUCAAUGAGGAGUCAUUAUGUAAUGUGGGGUUGCCCACUUCGAUCUUGAAGAAUUCUUGCAGGGAUGGGUUUGUGUAAGCGGGGCACUGAAGAGUCAAACUCAUUUCAACUCACGUUACCUCCAUAAUCUGAUAUAUCUCCCAGUUUUCAAGCAGUAGCCUAACGUACGGAUUAGUGGAUUCAACAGAAAAUAGUCAACUGAAGUGAUUAUAGGAAAAUCAUGGCGCCACAGUCAUCUUCCUCAUAUGAAGCAAAGAGGAGGAUAGAGACAGAUGUGAGUUUGUACUCACGGACAGACCUCAGCAUUACAGGAUUAUUCUCAUCUGCUGGGCUAAAAUGUCACUGACACUUCUGGCUCACACUGCAUCUCAACACCCGGCAAGAAGACUCAACUCGAGUUGAGCUCGUGAGAAAUAACAACACUGACAGAUAUAUUUAGCCAAGACCCUCUGGAGCUUCCUCCAUUAGCCACCUCACAGUCGGCAGGUUCCAGCGUCUCGCAGACACCCCACCCUGCACCUGACAACGCUCUGGAAACAUCAACUGUGGAAUUACCAGGCAGCUGUGAAUCACACUGAGAAUUCUGGGAGGAUUUAGGAAGUCCAAGUGCUGGUACGUGUGUGCGACCCCAGUCUUGGUCUCCACCUGCGGCCUUUUGAGGGUGGAGUAGAUCUUUCCCGGACUGUUGUCUUCCGUCUGACGGAACUUCC